AUUUUUAUCUUAAUAAGGACAUGAGUCUUUAGCAGACUUCGUGUGUAAAUACACAGGUAAACGACCAGCUUAUAUCCCGGAUGGUUGGUUUGAAGAAGAAGAAGAAGAAGAAGAAGAAGAAGAAGAAGCUAAUUUUGGAUUGACCAGCCCAGCCCAAAAGAAACCUAAUUUUGUGCUGACCUGUAUUAAAUGGAGCCGUAUUUAUAGUCAACGCUUCGUGAGACUUGCAUCAAAUUUCUGUAGAGCCGCACCAUUUUGUACAUUGGUUCGAUUUAGACCCGCAUCAAGUGGAGCUGGAUCAUUAAUUCGGUAGUCUCGCAUAGGAAGGAGAUGUUUUUUCUAGUGUCUCUGGUUCGAGUUCAAAUUCGCUUUCCCCAGACUCUCGAUCUCAAGACUUGACUCGCAUGAGUCAAGCCUCGAGGGCGCACGAGUCAACUUGCGAGAGCGAGAGUCUGGGAAAAGCGAGACUAGCUGAAAUGCCGGACUUGCAGACGGUUAAUUCUUCGGGGGAGUGCUGGGAAAAUAAAGAUUUUGCGUUGACAAAC
rnacentral:sRNA from 1 species